rnacentral:rRNA from 1 species
GGUGUUUACUGUCGAACUGAACACUCUACCGUUUACUGUCUGGUGGUGCUCUUCACCGAGUGUCACCAGUGGUCGGUACGUUUACUUUGAAAAAAUUAGAGUGCUCAAAGCGGUUUUUACACGACCGAAUACUGUUGCAUGGAAUAAUGAAAUAGGACUUUGGUUCUAUUUUGUUGGUCUCGGAACCAAGGUAAUGAUAGAGGGACAGACGGGGGCAUUAGUAUUGCGACGCUAGAGGUGAAAUUCUUGGACCGUCGCAAGACUAACUAAAGCGAAAGCAUUUGCCAAGAAUGUUUUCAUUAAUCAAGAACGAAAGUUAGAGGUUCGAAGGCGAUCAGAUACCGCCCUAGUUCUAACCAUAAACGAUGCCAACCAGCAAUCAGCCUGUGUUCUCUUGAUGACACGGCUGGCGGCUUCCGGGAAACCAAAGUCUUUCGGUUCCAGGGGAAGUAUGGUUGCAAAGCUGAAACUUAAAGGAAUUGACGGAAGGGCACCACCAGGAGUGGAGCCUGCGGCUUAAUUUGACUCAACACGGGGAAACUCACCCGGCCCGGACACUGUGAGGAUUGACAGGUUGAAGCCCUUUCUUGAUUCAGUGGGUGGUGGUGCAUGGCCGUUCUUAGUUGGUGGAGUGAUUUGUCUGGUUAAUUCCGAUAACGAACGAGACUCUAGCCUACUAAUUAGACCGUGGCGUCCUCGUGCCGCCACGGCGCUUCCUAGAGGGACAGACGG